AUACGGAGGAUCCGAGCGUUAUCCGGAUUUAUUGGGUUUAAAGGGUGCGCAGGCGGCCAUUUAAGUCAGCGGUUAAAUCGCGGGGCUCAACCCCAUUCUGCCGUUGAUACUGGGUGGCUUGAUUGCGGUCGAGGUUGGCGGAAUUCGUUGUGUAGCGGUGAAAUGCAUAGAUAUGACGAAGAACACCGAUUGCGUAGGCAGCUGACCAGACCGCAAAUGACGCUCAUGCACGAAAGUGCGGGGAUCGAACAGGAUUAGAUACCCUGGUAGUCCGCACAGUAAACGAUGAAUACUUGUUUUCGGCGAUAUAAUGUCGGAGGCAAAGCGAAAGCGAUAAGUAUUCCACCUGGGGAGUACGCCGGCAACGGUGAAACUCAAAGGAAUUGGCGGGG
rnacentral:rRNA from 1 species